CUCCCUUUCUACAUUCAAACUACAGAUUCAAAUCAUGUAUUCUCAGAUUAAAACAUCAACUAUCUUACUCCUAUUAUAUCUAAGGUCUAUGGGCAAACUUACCUAUAAACGGGCAGAAUUGUAUAGCAUGCACUGCAUACGCCUUUCAUACACCACAAAGAAUAUAAAAUCUACUUACCAGAUAUAAAGAAUGUAAUUUCCAAUAACUACAGUUGUUCCAAAGUAUGGAAACUUCAGUGAGUAAUCACAAGCACUAAAUAUAAUGUCUCUAUAUAAU
rnacentral:lncRNA from 1 species